CAGAGAAUAGUUUAAUUAGAAUUUUAAUUUUGGAGAUUAAUGGUAAAGUUUACUUUUUCUCUGA
rnacentral:tRNA from 1 species